GAGGGCGCGGCGGUCGCUGCAAAACCUAGG
rnacentral:snRNA from 1 species